rnacentral:tRNA from 1 species
GCUGGCGUAGCUCAGAUGGUAGAGCAGCGCAUUCGUAAUGCGCAGGCCGGGGGUUCGAUCCCUCUCGCCAGCU